UACGAAGGGGGCUAGCGUUGCUCGGAAUCACUGGGCGUAAAGGGUGCGUAGGCGGGUCUUAAGUCAGGGGUGAAAUCCUGGAGCUCAACUCCAGAACUGCCUUUGAUACUGAAGAUCUUGAGUUCGGGAGAGGUGAGUGGAACUGCGAGUGUAGAGGUGAAAUUCGUAGAUAUUCGCAAGAACACCAGUGGCGAAGGCGGCUCACUGGCCCGAUACUGACGCUGAGGCACGAAAGCGUGGGG
rnacentral:rRNA from 1 species